rnacentral:rRNA from 1 species
CUUGGCGGCCAUAGCGCGGUGGUCCCACCUGAUCCCAUGCCGAACUCAGAAGUGAAACGCC